CCGCAGCUGCCCGCGGUGCCUGCGCGCCGUUGCGCCCCUGCGGCCGUGCGGAGCGUCCGGCGGAGCGGUGCGGCGCGACUAACAGCGCCGAGCGGGAGGAAACGCUCAGCAUCUGCGGGCAUCCCUGUGAGACUCCACGAAGGACCACAAACCCAGGCGGCCACGGCCGUGCUGGGGAACAAGGCAGAGCAUUUUGCACCUGCUCAGCUGCAGUGAGGAUGCCUCGAUGCCGACGAGGAAGCGGCAGCAAAACACGAGUAGCGGCUGGAGCCUCAUCUGUACCGCGGCUCCUGCCAGCACAGCUGUACCACUGACAGCAGCGGAACAUUUUGCUCAAGUUCUCUAGAGGAAUCAAAGCCUGUAUUUUCUGUCUCUGGCUCUCUCUUGUCCUGUUGUUCCUCGUUCUUUAGAAAAAAAAAAAAAAAAAGAAUCAGCCACAUGCAGCACGUGGCUGCUCGCUGUGUUUGGGAAAAAAGAAAUGUUUGGGGGAAGGAACAAAACCAGCCCAAGCUGUUUUGAAAUCAGUAGCGUGUAAACAGUACCUGGAACUGAGGGGAACAAUGAUAUUAAUUAGUGCUCUGGUGUCAUGAAUAUGUGCAUCGCUGCCUGCUGUUUCAUUACGAGACAGCGCAACUUCUGCAAUGGAGCCUGGAGAGUGUUUGGGGGAACGGCACCACUAAUGCCUCCUCCAGCUCUUAUGUAACCGACAUCACAAGUCAGAGCCCGAACUGCAAAGCAUAAGCAUGUGCAUCAUAUUAAGCAUGUAAACAGUGCCUUAAAUUACUGUCCUUUUACUGAUGGUCUGGCUUUAAUCUAUUGCUAUUUUUAGUUCUGCAGUUCCAUUCAUUUCAAUACACGGUGGUGCCAUGAAUAGCAGAGCCAAGAGUCUCCCCUUCAACUUCACACCACGAAAACGUUCACCAAACUGAAAUAAAUUCGGCACAAACCACUUUGGUUUCAGGUUGAUAUAGUCCAAAUGAUGUGUAUACCAGACCUAAUGCAUAUCUGGUAGUAUGAUGCUAUAGAAAGCCAGGAUACAAUGCCAUUGUGGCUGGGUUUUGCACACCUGUCCAAGGCACAGCUUAGCAGUGGUCUUCCUUUGUGUUCUGCCUCCUUCCUACAGACUAUAUUCCCCAUUCGCACGCAGAUCUCCUAUCUGGAGUUUUAAGGUGUUAGGUGCUGAUAUUGUGAGCACCUCUUGUAUCUGUUUAAUCCAAUAACAGAACUCGUCUUUAA